GGCCGGGUGGCAGAAUGGUGAUGCAGAAGACUGCAAAUCUUUGUACGUCGGUUCGAUUCCGGCCUCGGCCUC
rnacentral:tRNA from 1 species